UCUGGUGGCGACUUUCAAUUAGGGACCAUAGUUUGGGUCCCUAUCUCGUUAGUGUAAUACCUAUCAUAUUAGAAGACACGAAGCCAGUUUUCAAAUGUUAAAAUUUGAAUGAAAAUGUUCACAUCAUGUUAUUUAAUCACUUAAAACAUUUUUUCCGACUUUUAUUUAACCCUUUGUUUAUACAUUUCCAACAUUAUUACUGAAACUUUUCAUUAUAAUAUAAAGUUGUCUUCAAAAACCAUUUUCGUACAAGAUUUUUUCGCCACCUGCAAACAAAAGUGUUUUUCAUUUAAACAGUAUGCUCAUGAGCAUACUUGAUAAUUACAAAGUAAAUACUUGAUGAAUGCUGUGUUUUUCAAACGAAAUCAGCUAAACAUCCAUUUUCGAAUAGUAAAUACUUUGUUGUUUCUUUUAUUCAUACCAAACGUACUAAAAACUUAAUCUCACUGCUCGACUGCUCGGAUGAAGUAAAGUAAAGGUGAAUUUUGUUUUUAUUCAUACGACCUAUUGUAUUUAGAUGGUAUAAAGUACAUCAUGAAAUUAUUAAAAAGGGCACCUCAGAUACCAGCGGAACAUUGGCGCCUAGCAAGAACUGCACAUUUCCGUCCGAGAAUAUGACGAUAUGCUCCUUCACUUAAAGAAAUUCGCCAUCAUCAAUGCCAUCCCUAUCUUACGAAGAAUAAAAUACAACAAGUUACAGCAGGUGGUCCAAUUCAAGUUCAGGAUGUAUCCUAUUUGACAUCGAUAGGCUGCAAUUGUUCUGCAAUCCGGGGAAGAAAUCGAUUACUAUAUUUUAGAUGGUGAGCUGGAUUCGUGACCACUUAACAACGAUUCCACGUAAACACACAGAAAUCCCAAUUGUCGAUGAUUGCAGUGUAUAAAUUUUUGUAUGAAUGAUAUUGUAUAAAGGUAGAUGUUUGUA